rnacentral:lncRNA from 1 species
GCGGCAUCGACCCAUUCAACUUCAGUAGCGAUGAAGCUGACUGCGACGUGAAGUGUUAUCCCCGCAUCGAGCUCACGGACAUUAAGGACUACCUUGUUUACGGCACAAGCUUUGCAACAAGGGACGAGCUUAAAGCCUAUAGAUUGAUGGACGCCCACAAUUACGUGACUAGCGAAUGGGUCCAACAGCCACGAGUUCGAGACCUCGGAGACGGCCGCCGCGUCGUCGUCGGAAACGUUCGACACUCGCAGGCAGCCAUCCAAGUCUUUUCGAUUGAUGCGUCGGAGCCACUCCGUUCUUCGUCGCUGCGUGACGUCUUUCGUGUGCUUGCAUUGGUUUACAGUAACUUUAGGUA